rnacentral:rRNA from 1 species
UACGUAGGGAGCAAGCGUUGUUCGGAUUUACUGGGCGUAAAGGGCGCGUAGGCGGUCUUGUAAGUCAGCUGUGAAAGCCCGGGGCUCAACCCCGGAGGGUCGGCUGAUACUGCAGGACUGGAGUACGGAAGAGGUAGCUGGAAUUCCCGGUGUAGCGGUGAAAUGCGCAGAUAUCAGGAGGAACACCGAUGGCGAAGGCAGGUCUCUGGGCCACUACUGACGCUGAGAAGCGAAAGCGUGGGGAGCGAACAGG